rnacentral:lncRNA from 1 species
GUGCUUCCUGGCACUGGGCUACAAUUCCUGAUGGCUGAUUCUGGGUGAAGAUGCUGUCUCUGGAAGGCCCCUGAUCAAGCUCUCCCGAGUCUCCCUCCUGAUAAACAUACAUCAAAAGGUGCAGCCCAGCAUUGGCUUUCUCUACAUGGCCCCCAGGUCCACCCUGCCCCGCCCAGCUGUUCCCCACCACCUGUGGCUUUCAGGAUGCUUCAGGAAAUGGAAGACACAGCAUGUGUGUGGGAGGAGUGGUUGAAGCCUCGCUGUGAUUCACCCGGACCUCCAAGGAAGUCACAGCUGCCCUCUGGGAUGGCCACAUUCCAUGGGGAGGGGCUUCAGGACACGCUACCUCAAAUACGGCACCUUGGUAUAUUGAAUACUUUAUACCUGGAAGUCAGAUUCCAGGCUCCUCUGUGGACGGCUUUGUCUUCGUUCCCUGGCACUUCCAACCCACCCUCUCUACCCAGGAACUAAGUUGGCCUUCCGGAUCCAUGGGUUCAGAAUCUGCAGAUCCAACCA